AAACCGAUAAUUAAUUCUAACUUGCCAAGUCUAUCCAAUUUACAUCGCCAUAUUAAAAUGACGUCAUAGUCACAUGACAUGUCUACAGGUACUUCAAUAUAAAAGAAGCUUAACAGAGAACUCCCCCCCAACCGAAUCAUAUCACCUAUUAUAAUUUAAGAAAUUUUUUUUACUAAGCCCACAAUCACCUACAAGUAUAAUCUUAAAAAUAGCUUAUUCAAAAUAUGAACAGGAAUAUAUUUUACAAAAGAAAGACAAGGAAAAAAGAUGGGAGAAAGAAAAAACCACAACAAAUGUUUUUAUUGGGUUUAGGUUCAUUCUAUUAGUGUAUCAUUACUAGCAAGCUUGCUUGCAAUGUUUCACCGGGGAAACAUUUAUAGAACUGAUUUGCUUCUGGUCGAUCUGUAACAUGGCGAAUAAAGAGAUACUAAGAAAAAAAUUUGUAAUGUAUAGAUCUAAGCAUGUGGUGUUUCAAAUGUAUCGGUAGAGUGAAAUGUCACCUUUCAUUUUACCAGUUUCAGUUAUUGACGUGAUGAUCAAUGGAAUGAGAAAAGAAUACCUUACUUGGAAAACAGUUAAAGUUUAAUGACAGGAAGCGCAUCUAUAGGAAGUACUGUCUCAUCAGGUUUCAUCCAACCCAUGCCAGCGUGGAAAAACAUGUAAACCCAAAUGUACAUUGUAUUUAGUUCAACAGUGGCUGACAACAUGAAUAGUUACCAAAACUAUCUAGACAAACAAGCACCACAGAAAGUUGUAAUUAAUGCUACAUAUAUCAUUUAUCUGGUACAUUUGAGGCCCAUUCUUUAUGUAUGUUUAAUUCACACAGUCAUAAAGUCAUAGCCCCAAUUACUUAAUUAGUUGUUGUGCACUCUUGAUAAUUAAACAAAUUGCUUGAAUGCACAAAAAUAGUAUUGAUUGGUUAUAUAAAGUUAAAGACUUUGGUCAUGAAUAGCCAUGGGAUUGUUGCCUAGAAAGUUACCUUCUCAGGUUCAAGUCUGGGCAAAGUUGUUUAUGGAAGACCAACACUCGCCCAUGCAUACCAGUCUCCCCUCUCCACGCCAAUGUUAUCCAAGGGAAAGGCAAAGGCCAAUACAGCUCAGCACCAGUGAUGCCGCAA